AUUUGCAGAAGAGACACUUGAGAGAGAGAUACAACAAAGCUUUAAAGCACGAAAAAGAUGAACUCGAAACACCAGUGACUGGAGGAACCAUGACAACACAAACAAGAAGGAAACAAGAAAGAAAAAGCAUAAUCCUGGUUUUUGUGUUCUGAAUUGUGGAUUUGAAAUGGAGGCUCCCGUGGCUGCUGACAGCCUGCCUUGAUGCUGCUGAUGUCUGGGUGAUGAACAGUCAUGGGUUUCCUCCCACCUGCCUCUGUGGAUUAAUGAAGAGCAAGGCAGGAAUGGCAGACCUGCCAUCUGGAAUGACCUUACCUGAUAAGAUUGUUCUGCCUU
rnacentral:lncRNA from 1 species